CGGGGGGGCAAGCGUUGUUCGGAAUUACUGGGCGUAAAGGGCGCGUAGGCGGUUCGCUAAGUUGGAUGUGAAAACUCUGGGCUCAACCCAGAGCCUGCAUCCAAAAACUGGCGGGCUAGAGUUCUGGAGGGGGUAGCGGAAUUCCUGGUGUAGCGGUGAAAUGCGUAGAUAUCAGGAGGAACACCGGUGGCGAAGGCGGCUACCUGGACAGAAACUGACGCUGAGGCGCGAAAGCUAGGGGAGCAAACAGGAUUAGAUACCCUGGUAGUCCUAGCCCUAAACGAUGGAUACUUGGUGUGACUGGGAUUGAAUCCAGUCGUGCCGAAGCUAACGCAUUAAGUAUCCCGCCUGGGGAGUACGGUCGCAAGGCUG
rnacentral:rRNA from 1 species